GACGAACGCUGGCGGCGUGCUUAACACAUGCAAGUCGAACGGAAAGGCCGUGCUUGCAGGGUACUCGAGUGGCGAAGUGGUGAGUAACAGGUGGGUAAUCCGCCCUGCACUUCGUGAUAAGCGUGGAAAACUGGGUCUAAUAGCGGAUAGGACCCAUCAUCAGUGUGUGGGUUGGAAAGUUCUUUCGGUGUAGGAUGAGCUCGCGGCCUAUCAGCUUGUUGGUGGGGUAAUGGCCUACCAAGGCGGCGACGGGUAGACGGCCUGAGAGAGUGUACGGCCACACUGGGCCCCUGCUACAGGCCCGACUCCUACACGUGGGACAAGUGGGGCAUAUUUGACACUGCGAGCCCGCGUGAGGCAGCGAGGCCGCGUGGGGGAUAAAGCCCUUUGGGUUGUAAAAUCCUCUCGCUAGGGACAAAGCGCUUUUGUGACGGUACCUAGAUAAGAAGCACCGGCUAACUACGUG
rnacentral:rRNA from 1 species